CAACAUCUUGGUUCUCUCCAUGUUUCUUUACACACACAAACCUGAAAUUGUGGCACAGCCUCUUGGGCCCAAACUCAGUCUAGUUUUCGAUGUCACUAAUUUGAUUUAAUUUCUUAAAAAAGGGAAGUAUUGAUGCAGCCUAUCAAGAAUCAAGACUUUUAAGCACUUUCAAUGUCCUUGCAGAAAUUUUUGUAAGAUGGAAUGUGUAGAGAGAAUGUCCAGAUUAUGAGUUAAGCAUAAAGCAUAAAGAACUUAACAAUAAGCAAGCAAUUUGAAUUGUUAUACUAUUGGCUAAGGUGGAUUAUUGAAAUAGCCAAAUAGGUGUAAAAUCCAAUUUAAAAUUUGAAAACAGUAGAUGGGAAGAGACAUGGUUCAGUGUGAACAACCAUGAAAUGUGAAGAUCUAAUCAAAAUAAACGAAACAUAACAAAC
rnacentral:lncRNA from 1 species